GGCAAGGCAUGGUGGUGCGCACCUGUAGUCCCAGCUACUCAGGAGCCUGAGGCAAGAGGAUUGCUUGAGCCCAGGAGUUCUGGGUUGUAGUGCACUAUGCUGAUCAAGUGUCCACACUAAGUUCAUCAAUAUAGUGACCUCCUGGGAGCCAAGGACCAACCAACAGGUUGCCUAGGGAGGGAUGAACCAGCCCAGGUUGGAAAUGGAGCAGGCCAAAAUUUCCGUGCCAAUUAGUAGUGGCAUCAUGCCUGUGAAUAGCCACUGCAUUCUGGCCGAGCUGAUAUCACAAGACUCUGUCUCU
rnacentral:SRP_RNA from 1 species